CCUACGGGUGGCAGCAGUGGGGAAUAUUGGACAAUGGGCGAAAGCCUGAUCCAGCCAUGCCGCGUGUGUGAAGAAGGCCUUCGGGUUGUAAAGCACUUUCAGUGGGGAAGAAAGCCUUGGGGCUAAUACCCUCGAGGAAGGACAUCACCCACAGAAGAAGCACCGGCUAACUCCGUGCCAGCAGCCGCGGUAAUACGGAGGGUGCGAGCGUUAAUCGGAAUUACUGGGCGUGAAGCGCGCGUAGGCGGUCUGAUAAGCCGGUUGUGAAAGCCCCGGGCUCAACCUGGGAACGGCAUCCGGAACUGUCAGGCUAGAGUGCAGGAGAGGAAGGUAGAAUUCCCGGUGUAGCGGUGAAAUGCGUAGAGAUCGGGAGGAAUACCAGUGGCGAAGGCGGCCUUCUGGACUGACACUGACGCUGAGGUGCGAAAGCGUGGGUAGCAAACAGGAUUAGAUACCCCAGUAGUC
rnacentral:rRNA from 1 species